rnacentral:rRNA from 1 species
UUAGGAAUCUUGCGCAAUGGGCGAAAGCCUGACGCAGCGAUGCCGCGUGCGGGAUGAAGGCCCUCGGGUCGUAAACCGCUUUCAGCAGGGACGAUAGUGACGGUACCUGCAGAAGAAGCCCCGGCCAACUACGUGCCAGCAGCCGCGGUAAUACGUAGGGGGCGAGCGUUGUCCGGAUUUAUUGGGCGUAAAGAGCUCGUAGGCGGUUUGGUAAGUCGGGUGUGAAAUCUCCACGCUCAACGUGGAGGGGCCACUCGAUACUGCCAUGACUCGAGUCCGGUAGAGGAGUGUGGAAUUCCCGGUGUAGCGGUGAAAUGCGCAGAUAUCGGGAGGAACACCCGUAGCGAAGGCGGCACUCUGGGCCGGAACUGACGCUGAGGAGCGAAAGCGUGGGGAGCAAAACAGGAUUAAGAUACCC